rnacentral:rRNA from 1 species
UGGGGAAUAUUGCACAAUGGGCGCAAGCCUGAUGCAGCCAUGCCGCGUGUAUGAAGAAGGCCUUCGGGUUGUAAAGUACUUUCAGCGAGGAGGAAGGCGUUGUGGUUAAUAACCGCAGCGAUUGACGUUACUCGCAGAAGAAGCACCGGCUAACUCCGUGCCAGCAUCCGCGGUAAUACGGAGGGUGCAAGCGUUAAUCGGAAUUACUGGGCGUAAAGCGCACGCAGGCGGUCUGUCAAGUCGGAUGUGAAAUCCCCGGGCUCAACCUGGGAACUGCAUCCGAAACUGGCAGGCUAGAGUCUUGUAGAGGGGGGUAGAAUUCCAGGUGUAGCGGUGAAAUGCGUAGAGAUCUGGAGGAAUACCGGUGGCGAAGGCGGCCCCCUGGACAAAGACUGACGCUCAGGUGCGAAAGCGUGGGGAGCAAACA